rnacentral:rRNA from 1 species
UACGUAGGGUGCGAGCGUUGUCCGGAAUUAUUGGGCGUAAAGGGCUCGUAGGCGGUUUGUCGCGUCGGGAGUGAAAACGCCGUGCUUAACACGGCGCUUGCUUUCGAUACGGGCAGACUAGAGGUAUGCAGGGGAGAACGGAAUUCCUGGUGUAGCGGUGAAAUGCGCAGAUAUCAGGAGGAACACCGGUGGCGAAGGCGGUUCUCUGGGCCUGACCUGACGCUGAGGAGCGAAAGCGUGGGGAGCGAACAGG